UCCUUUUGGGUGCGUUUGGUACACGUAUUGUAUUAUGUUGUAUUGCAUUAUUUUAAUGCUGGUGUAUUGUAUUAUGCUGUAUUGCAUUAGCACUGUAUUAUAAUAAUACUGUACAAUGUUUGGUGCUACACAGUACUGUAUUAAUUUUUAGUUAUGUUAUGUUUGGUGUUGCACUGUACUGUAUUAAUUUCUUUUGGUGAUUAAUUUUAAUUAUAUAUUUAGAAAAUAAUAUUUACUAGUACUUAGAAAAAUACUAAAUAUAGAAGUGUUAAAUUUAAAAAUUUUUACAUCAAUUUUUUUUGUUUAAAUAAAAUAAUCAUAAUUCUUUUAUUUAAACUAACAAAUUCUAAGAUUUACAAUUAUAUAAGAUUUAUUUUUUCAAUAAUUCGUAAAUAUAUAACCUAUGAAAUAAAGAUUGAAACAAAUAAUCCAAUCAAAUAGCAUUUAAAAACUAUCACAGCAUAAAUAAAACAAACUAUCACAAGAUUCAUUCAAAGUUAAUACAUACUUCAAAAACAUCACAAAUUAAUAAGUAACACAAUAGUUGUUUGUGUCCGAUAAUUUAAGUACACACAUCUACAAGCCAAACUACUAGUUGGUUAUGUCAUUGUUUAGUUAGAAAUCCAUACUCUCUAAUCAAAUUCCACCUCUCCUCUCAUGCUCACGCAAAAGCAUCCUAACAUAAGCGAACUUACGAUCACGAUCAUUUCGUAAUACUUUGAAAGCCCUUAUAUGUGAAGGCUUCUCAACCAUCAAAUUUAAUGCAAUAAGCUCGUCAUCCAUAGAAAGUCCUAUCGAAGCAAGCUCUCUACCAAUGUAAUCAUGAUCUUCACUACUUCCAAACAUAUUCUGAGACAUGUCAGCGUUGGCUUGGUGAAAUGCUGAAACCAAUUUGUCAAUACCACCAGCAAUUUGUUCAUCUAAUUUAGACCUCCUCAUGUUUGAUGAUUGUGAACGUGAUCGAGUAGUGUAUUGAGAAUUUGAAGGCAGUGUAGUCGACAUUGGAGAACCUUCAUCAUCAAUCUCAUUAUCAUCAUCAUGAAUUUCUUCUUGAAGUGCUGCAUUAGCCAUAUCAUUUGGGGUUUCUGCUGAACUUCCAGUUGCACGGUCUUUUCCAAAUAUGUUUGCUAGCCUCUCAUAAUAUGGAAAUGACUUAUCUCUUCAGUUGCUUGCAUCUUUAUGGGACUACAAUAAUAAAAUAAGAUAAUUAAAUAAACUCUAUUAUAUUCAUAACAAACAAAUUAAGGACAAUGUUUAUAAAUGAUGACAUAAAAAAAAUAAUUUUCUUUACUAACCUCGACAUAUGAUCUACAUACUUCGUCACUGUUAACCACCACACAUUUUCUUACUUCAUUCCAGCCAAAACCGCUAGUGUUCAACAUAUCAAAUAUCACUCCAUAACUUUUUUUCCAUAUUCUUAUCUUAGAGUCAAUAUGUGGAUACGCCUUCAAGCCGCUCCCUGGUAAUAGUUUUUCUAAUUCAUUUUCAAUAUAUUUGUAACUUCUAGAUUUAAAGGUGCCGUUAUCAGCUCGACCACCAUUUGCAACUACAGCAUCUAAAAUGUUCAACAUUGCCUCUUCUUCGUCUUUUGUCCAUGCUCGUCUUGAUCCUGUCUUAUUUCCAGUAGUAUGGCUUGGUCCUCCACUCUCCAUUCCUACAAAAUGAAUAUUAUAACAAUUUUUGAACAAGUAACUAAAAUAUAACACCAAGUCAGUUCACAUCAAUAAACCUCGAUAAAUUUCCAAUGACAUCAAAUAUAAAUACAAGGUUACAACCUUAGAAAUUUUCCUAAUGACAUCUAUAUACUAACAAAAGUACAGCCUCCGAUGCUUUCCUAAUCACAUCUAUAUACUAACAAAAGAUGCUUUCCUAACGAUAUCUGUAUACUAACAAAAGUACAGCCUCAGAUAUUUUCCUAAUCACAUGUAUAUACUAACAAAAGUACAUGCUCGGAUACUUUCCUAAUGACAUCUAUAUACUAACAAAAGUACAUGCCCAAAUGAUUUCUUAUUGACAUCUAUAAAUUAGAUAAGUCCUAAUUUCCAAGCCAAUUAUUAUACAUAGUAGUAGCUAGAUCAUUCCUCCAGCUCGUCCACUGGUCUGAAGCUUCAAUGCUACUUAUACUAUCAUUAUCUUCUACUUCAUUAUUAGGUAAGUCAAUUAAUUCAUGCUCCAUUAGAUCCACAGACAUUUCUCUCCUAAUCAGAUUAUGCAAUAAACAACAUGCAGUAAUAAUGCGACAUUGGGUUUUAAUUGGAUAAAAUGAAGGACUUCAAAGAAUAGCCCAUCGCAUUUUGAGCAAUCCAAAACACCGUUCAAUUACUUUUCUUGCUGAUGAAUGUUUCAUAUUAAAGAAUUCUUCUUUAUUGCGAGGAGCACACCCAUCUCUCCAUUCCGAUAAAUGAUAUCUCGUUCCCCUAUAUGGUGCAAGGAAUCCUUCAGCAUUUGUAUAUCCGGCAUCCACAAGAUAAUAAUAACCUAUUUAUUUCACAUAAGCAUUAAUAUAAUUUUGAUUUUGAAUAUGUAAUUUGAUUAAAUUAAUUUUUUGGAUUGAGUAAUACCUGUAGGAACUUUUAAACCAGUUGGUUUAUUUAAUGCAUCGCGAAGUACCCUUGAGUCAGUGGCAGAGCCUUCCCAUUCGGGCAUCACGAAGAUGAAUUUCAUAUCUCGUGAACAUACCCCUAAAACAUUUGUAGCAAUCUCACCAUUUCUUGUUCGAUAUCUUGGUUUAUCAUUUUCUGGCACACGGAAUCUAAUAUAAGUUCCAUCCAAUGCUCCCAAGCAAUUCCACAUGCACAAAACAAAUGAAAUUUAAUUAGCACUAAAUUAUCAAUCGCUAUAAUAAAAUAUAAGUAAUUGAAAAUGUACCUUAAACCACUUCCACCUCUCAUCAGUGCAAUUCUCUGGUACAGGAUCUGGCACCCUUAGUAAAACAUCGUGUAGCCGUAUUACUCUGUUUAACAUUGAAUUGAUGUAUCUACUAACAGUCUCACCAGAUCUAAAAAACGUACUGCCAAUUGUGCGAUUCUUAACAUGAUGAGACAAAGUGUGUAGGAACAUGCAAACUUGCUCUUCAACAGCCAAUGAACCAGUAGCCUUUAGUCCCAUCGAUCGAAGUAGCUCACAUAGUAGGCCAAAUGUCCUUCUAUCCAUUUUUAGUUGAUUUACACAUUGAAUGUCACUAUUGCCUAUAAUGCUAUCUAAGUAUUGUAGUCGAGUAGCAUGGAAUUGGAAUGUACGACUACGAAUCAUUUUUCUUUCGUUAUGCCUUCGGAUCAACAUCAUUAACAAAAAAUACAUCACAAUGAACAUGAACCUCAAUUUCAUUUGCCACAUGAUGAAAGAAAAUUUUCUUCCCAUGUCCAUAUCUAACACAACCAUUAAAAUGAGGGAAAAAAAAUCAGCUAGUAGACCAUUUGAUAAAUUUCCAUAAAGUUAGAUUAGAUUUCCAUAUAAAGGCUAUGUUUCAACACUUGAGCUAAAUAGAAUCACAAAGAAGAGAAUAGAGGCAAAUGAUGAUGAUAAAUAAUAAUAAUAAAAAUCAUGCCUACCACACGAUAUAAUAGAGGGUACAGGAAAUAUAUUGAAAUCCAAGGAAUUAUAUAUCAUAAGUCAUUUCUUGUUGAACAAAUAAUAAAUGGUAAGAAAUUGAACUCACUGGAAGCAAGCAGCAGCCGUUGGAAGGAAAUUCUAGUUUACGUAUUUGUUUUGCAACCUAAAUAAAAAUAACCUAUUGAAAUGAAUGAAAAAGAAGUCAAUUUUAAUGAAUAAUUAAAUCUGAAAAAAAAUUCAUAUAAAGUAUGCAACAUUUGCUAGCUACAAUAGCUAUAAAUAUGUGUGUGUAUUUAGCAACUAGCAAGUCUUUAUAAAAUUCAUGUGAGUACUUAAACUCAAACUCUUUUACUCAUACACUAAUUUUUUUCCUUUUAAUUUAUGAAUGGUCAACAAAACUUGAGAAACUUUUUUAUCCCCACACAACAUGAAUCUGUCCAGGAAAAUAUUAUCCAUUGCACCAAUAAUACUCUACAGGUGGUCAUAUAUUAUAUAAAAGAAGAUAUUGUUCAACAAUAAUGAUAUUUUGAAUUUUUUGUUUGGUCUUUAAUCAUUUGUUCAUAAAGUUACUGUCUUUUUGAAAUUUAUCUUUUGACCAAAAAGUGCAGCACAGUUAGUUAGUAAUGCAAAUUCUUGCAAACAUAAAUAAUAAUAAUAAUAAUAAUAAUAAUAAUAAUAAUAAUAAUAAUAAUAGUUAAUUAUCCAGUGUUGCUAACACUAUUAUAAAAGCUUUAGCUUCCCUGUAUGCUUUACGCCUCCAAUCAUCAUGAUAAAAGAUGAACUACCAGUUCCUUAUAAUGCUUAGACUCCACAUUUGGCUACCUAUUACUAGUUGUUAAUUAUGGGAAAAAAUUGUAGAAGAAGAAAGAGAAAAUAAAUAAAAGUGGGAAGUUAUAUUAAUAACUAAAAAGAAGGUUACGGUCGAGGCUGAACUGCCAAUUGCGACAAACAGAAACAUAACCUCACAAUAUGUAAUUUCAGUCAUCCAGUUUGUUGCCAAGCGCUAAAACAGGGCUGUAAUUUCAGUUACUCUUGUUGAAUUUUGCAACUUCCUUUCUAAUGUAACCCCUGUAAUUGAUUAUGUCUUACCUCAUUAUUAACAUGUUCUCCCAAACAAAAAAACAAAAUCCAUUUUCAUAGACAGCUAAAUAGGUUACAAGCUUUAAUAAGCUUCUAAUUGCAGAGGGUUGACUGAUUUAUGACUCGAUAUUAUAAUUCGAUUUUAAUCACUAAUUUAUUGUAUUAUUGUAUUAAUUGUCGUAUGAAUAAAUUGUGUAACAAUGAUGAUAUUGCUCAAAUUUCCAAUCAUACACUAUGAACCAGACUACUUUUUCAUAUGAACCUAACAAAAAAAUUGACAGGAAAAGCAUGAUUUGAACAAAUGGAUGACCAACUUUCUAAAAAGAAAGAAAAGGAAAAGAAUAAUAAAAACUAAAAGCAAACGGAUGAUCAGGACCACAACGUUUCCAUUUUACUGCAACAUUUCACACACACAUAUAUAAAGUAUAUGCAGAGAUGUUAUUCCUCUGUUCUCAUAUAAUCCAAACAGGGGCAAUUUUCUGCACUUGGCUAAAACCCACCGCGAGCAAUUAGCCCCUUAUUUUUCAUAAAAAUCAAUUGCUACGAAUGUUUGAUUAUAAUGGAAAAACAUGAUUAAAUUGAAAGCAAAUAAAAUAAAACCCUAAUCUAGAAAUUAAACCUAAAUUAAAAAAUUAAACCCAAAUGAAAUAUCAAACAUUAGGUGGUGAAGGACAGGGAAAACAAUUGUACUGCACAGUAGAGAUGGUGUUGCAGCGGAGGUGGUGUCACGCAGUGGGGUGCAGUGGAGGUGGUAUCACGCAGUGGGUGGGUGUCGCACGAUGAGGUUACAGUGGAGUUGGUGUCGCACGGCAAAGGUUGUUGAUGUGGUGGUGGAGCAUCGUGGAGUUGGCUCUUGCUAAGCCACUGCACAGGAGAAAUCACAGAUUGAACAAGGAGAGCUAUUUUGGUUUAUUUGAGGACAAGGUGAGAACGAGAGGGAAGUCUAAUUUUUCUGGUCUCAGAAAUAGUUGCAAAACCCGCUUAAACCCGACCCCCCCCCUCGGGUUUAGUUUAUGCGGGUUUGACCGCAUAAAAUUUGGAGUUGACCACAUUGUAAUACUAUGUGAUGUAAGUACCAAACAUGGUAUAAUAAUAUUCUAAUACAAUGAGGAGCUCUUAUACCAUAACCAAACAUGCCCUUUGCUCUCUCCCCCACGUGAACUGAUUUGCUCAUUGCUCAAGCAAAAAUAGUUCAUCACAUGAGAAAGGAAACGGCAUCAGCAGGAGUGGUAAGUUUAUGUAUUUUUAUGUUAAAUUUUUCUUUUAUUUUGAAUAUACAAAACUAAACGUAUUAUUAAAUAUUUAUCAAUCAUAUAUAUAUAUAUAUAUUAUUUGUGUAGGUACUUAUAUACCCAACUUAAGGUAGUGUGCACAAUAUUUAUCAGUCAUUUCCUUAUAAUUGGCACCAAAUAAGCUUUCACCAGAAAAUCACAAUUUGUUAGUGUAUGCUUAUAUUUUUUAAUUUCUAAAAUCUCAUAUUAUAUUUUAAUUUUUUGUGUAUUACAAUAACCACUCCGUAUGCUUUGCAACCGCAUUAUCCUUCUUAUUUGAUGACGUACGAAGGAUCUGGAAGUAAAAAUUUCCAAUAUUUGCUACAUCAACAACGUAAUGAAGACAACAAUUGAAAGUUUAUGCAUACUUUACAUUUCUAAAUUUUGCGAUUUGAGAUUUGAAUUCUUUAUAGCACUUGAUGUUAAUAGCUCCAUUUGGCCACCAUAUUCAUUAUAUAUUUACAGUGAAUUUCGACUUUUAUUUGUGCUAGAUGACAUUGUCAAUAUUACACUACUUUAACUGCCGCAAAAAACAACAAAUUAUUACCAACAAAAUUUUUUUCAAACUUAAUCCGAAAAAUUUCACCAAUCGACAAUUUUUACCAAAUAAUUACUUACAAAAUUACCAACAAUUAUCAAAAAAUAAUUACCAACAAUACAAUUACCAAAAUAAUUCCCAACAAAAUAAUCAUUCAACAAAAUAAUUACUUACAAAAUUACCAACAAUUAUCCAAAAAUAAUUAUCAAAAAGUAAUUAUCAAAAUAAUUAUCAAAAUAAUUAUCAAAAAAUAAUUAUCAACAAUACAAUUACCAAAAUAAUUCCCAACAAAAUAAUUACCAAACAAGAUUACCAACAAUUAUCAUAAAUUAAUUAUUAAAAUAAUUAUCAAAAAAUAAUUAUCAACAAUACAAUUACCAAAAUAAUUCCCAACAAAAUAAUCACUGAACAAAAUAAUUGCCAAAUAAAAUUACCAACAAUUAUAAAAAAAUAAUUACAAACCAAACGGAGAGAGUGAGAUGGAGAGAGACGAGGGAGACGAGGACCAGCAAGCAGCACCACCGAGCAGCGACCACCGACCGCCGAGAGCAGCAACCACCGAGUAGAUCUAGAGUAGUAGCGAGCGAGAGGGGAGAUGGAGACGAAGCUGCAGCUGGAGCGAGAGGGAAGACGAAGACGAAGCUGGGGAGACGGAGACGAAGCUGCUGCUGGAGUGAGAGGAAAAACGAAGCGAGAGGGGAGACGGAGACCUAGUAAAGCUGCUGCUGGAGUGAGAGGAAAAACGAAGCGAGAGGGGGAGAGGAGUGAGAGGAAACUCGGCCUCGAGUUGAGCUGAAGUAAUGGCUUGUGAUGAACUACUCCUGCUGAUGUCGUUUUCUUUCUCUUGUGAUGAACUACUUCUACUUGAGCAAUGAACAAAACAGUUCACGUGGGGGAAAAGAAUGAGCAAAAGGGAAAGUGGAGUUCACGUGGGGAGAGAGCAAAAGGAGAAGUGGAGUGGAGUUUAUGUGGGGGCCAAAGUGAAAAGAGAAAAGAAAAGUGUGGGUCAUGUGGGGAAUGGCGAGAGAGCACUCGAAACGACAGCACAAGCUACCGUUUCUCUCGGCAUUCUCUUGCCGUUCUCUACGUUUAGCAUUUCUCAUUAAUUUUUGUCUGAGGAGCUUCGCUAACUAAUUUUUAAACAGCAUUUUUUACAAGUCACAUGAGUUCGAAUCUGAAAACAUAAAAUUAAAAAAUUAAUGUGGGCUUUAUCCAUCCCUACCGUUAAAAAAAAAAUAAAAACAGGAAAAAACAAUAAAUUAUUAUGCAUAUGCUUGCAAUAUGAAUAAAUACCCCCAAGCUUGCGCCUCCCUAUGCGGAAUGAGAAUCAAAUGUUAUUUCCUAGUAUUAGAUAGGAAGAAUUCUCAUGUACAGGUUAAUGCAAAUACAUUGUGCAACUUGUUGUAAGAGAGUUAGCAAAUUUUUAUUUUCAACGAUAGUAAACAAUAUAUAUAUAUAUAUAUAUGGGAGUUGUAAUCAAAUGAAAAAAUUAAUAAGCAGAAGGACUUUUUUAACUCGUUAUGAGUGAACCAAAAAAUGUUGUACGCGAGAUGAUGAUAGGAUGUAGAUGAAGAAAAAACCAAUGACAGAAAAAUCUUUUCAUCAAUUACUGUACCUUUUUUUUUUUGCAAAUAAAUUAAUUUAUAUAUACAUAAUUAGCUCCUACAGUGUUCUCUGUAGAGAGUUUUGAUGGAGAAGAGAAGCACCUCGACAUAUAAAAAAAGAACAUUUACAUCAAAACAGCCAGGACGAGACUGGUUAUUGACUUCUGAAUUAAAUUCGUUGCAAGGAUAUUUGCAAAGGAGUGAGAAAAAGGAUACUACUUGGCAACAAAAUGUGCCAGCUAAGAAUUAUUAGCUCAAAAAGAUAUAUAUAAUCAUCAUUUAAGAAUUAUUUUAUUCCCAAUUGGGUCGCUAAAACUAAAUUAUUCAAGGAGUGGUGUGUGUAUAUAUAUAUAUAUAUAUGACUGUUUCUUAAUCCAUGUAUGAAAAUUUCAACGGCUCAGAUCUUGAUUGAUAUGUUCGCAUGUUUUUUAGCACCAUUGGAUUGUGCAUUCCAUGGACAGAACGACUAAAGGGGGAAGGGUGGCGGCUUGUACUAAUUAUUGUAUUUCUGCACGUUAUUUUUAUUUAUUUAUUUUUUGCCUUUCUUACAUCGAAGUUAGAUCCAGAAAUAAGCAGAAAUAGUAUAAAACUGCAAACGUGUGACGCAGUCUAUGGAUCAUGUCAAGGUCAAAGUGGUAAGUCCUGACUCCUGAAACUUUUGCGAGCCGUGAUACUCUAGAAUUUGUCAAUUGAAUCGUCAUAUUCGUUAAUAUCCUUAAUACUAUCUCUUUGCACAUAAUUAUCAUUUUAUUUUUCAAUAUUUUUUACUUUCAUUUUCAAAAUUCAAAUUUGUGUGCUGCUUGGGGACCGAUCAAUUUGGUAAUUAAUUAAUAAGCCAAAGAAUAUUAAAGAAAUUAAUAUCCUUGCAGUGAAAUCAAUACUACCAAAAUCAUGCACUUUUAUCUCUAUUUUAUUGUUUGCAAUUGUGAUUCCUGGCCCUUAUGGUUAAAAAUUAUCACUAGUGCCCUACUAAUAACGUUGAAAACGUGUUGAAUCUUAAUUUUACAUAUGCAAUUAACCAAUAGAAUCAUGUGAUAUAUAUGUCUUUUGUAUACAUGUCAUUAGGGGCACUGAGGAAGAAAUAUGAUUUUCAUUCGGAAGGGUACAAAAGGAAGAAGCCAUGAACUUAAGUUGGUUAUCAAAUAAAAUCAAUAAAAAUGAGGGGGCAAAUAAUAACGACUAUAAUACCACCAAAGCUAAAACUUGAAUAGAUUUUGGCAUAAAUAUUUUAACCUUAAGGCCAACUUUAAAUUUGCACAGAUCUGGUAUCUGGGUCACAUGGUUCUCCCUCUACAUGUCAUAUUGGUUGAUUAUUCGUACUUCCAGUGUACGUAAGUUUUUUGCAGUUAACAAAUAAUACCAUAUUAAUCCUUGUAAUAAACUUAACAAUUAUAUUUGUUUGAGAUGCGCCUUUAAAAAUAUGUUAUAUAAUUGCUAACAACCAUUUACUUAGAUUGGUCGACAUCUCCUCCUUAGUUCUAAAGUAGAGAGUUCGAAUCUCUUAUAUAUAUACAGUAGAACCUCUGUAGAUUAAUAGGGUUGGAAACAUAUCAAAUCUACUAAUUAAAAGAGAAAUUAAAUAAUCGAUUAAUAAACAAUUUAUUAGUUUACAUAGUUAUAAGAUUCUUUUUUUAUAAAAAGUAUUUUCUCAUUAUUUUAUCAAAAUUAUUAGUUUAUCAAAAUUAUUAGUUUAGUCCAUUGGCCUACUGAUGACCGUGAAAAUUUAUUAUAUAAUCGAGAUUAUUAAUUUAUCGAGUAUUAAUUUAUAAAGAUUUUACUUUCUCUCUCUGUGUGUAGAGAGAGAGAGAGUCCUUUUUUUAUGUGGGUGCCCUCAUUUUUUUUUUUAUGCGAACACAUUAAUAAGUCAUAUGAUUUAAUGAAGUCAAUGUAGAUAUGCUAUUAAACCAUAUGAUUUUAUAUUAAACCAUAUAUGUAUAAGAAGAAAAUUACGGUGUACACACACACACACGCACGCGCACACACACACGCGCACGCAUGCACACACACGCGCGCACGCGCACACACACACAAACACGCGCGUGCGCGCGCGUACGCACACACUUAUAUUGAAUGAAACACUGAAUAUAUGGCUUAUGGCUUACUAGCAUAUCCGUAUAAGAAGAAAAUUAGGGUGUCCACACACACACACACAAAAGGAAAAAACAGUUCUAUCAAACCCUCACAAUUUUAAAUUCAAAAUUGCUUGAAUUAUAAAUUGAACCUCAUCAUAACUUUACAAAUAAUAUUUUGUCCCUCAAAUUUGAAGAUUUUGUAGUGUGUAUUUUUUUUUUUUAAAUUUGAAUAAAUUUGAAUUUGGCUGAAAUUUGAAUAGGUCCAAACACAAAUGGAUAACACGCUUUUCUUUUUUCAAUAUCUAAAUAUAAAUGAUAUCUUUUUUUUUUAUAAAUGAAAAAUAUAUUAAAUAUAGUUAUUUGACAUAUGUAUCUUUUUAAUCCAUAAAAAAAGAUUAGGUUUAUAUUUUAGAAAAAUAAAUAUAUUUAAUAGAGAUAUUGUUGAAUAUAAUAUUUACUUCUUGUUAGGGGUGGCAAAAAUACCCGCCCGGUCCGAACCCGGGCUGCACCCGGGUGUCGUGGGCUAGGUAUUACCCGACCUAGGUAUGAAGUCGGGUCGGUCUUGGGCAUUACUUGAUAAAUCCAGAGUCCGACCCGGAACCCGGAUUUUAUUAUAUAUAUAUAUAUAUAUAUAUAUAUAUAUAUAUAUAUAUAUAUAUAUAUAUAUAUAUAUAUAUAUAUAUAUAUAAUAUUAUUUUAAAUAUUUAUAUUUAUUUGACUCAUUUAUUAUAUAUAUAAAGUUUUAAACACUUCAAGUUUAUAUUUUCAUGUCAAAUUUUAUUGAAAUAAAUUUAAAACUUAUAAAAUUACCAAAAAAUAAAAAAAUUAUACACAUAUAAUAUUAACACAUAUAAAAUCCAGGUACCCAGAUUAAAACCCGACCCGGGCAUCUAAAAAUUGCAUCUGGGCCGGGUUCGGGCAUUGCAAUACCCGAACCCAAUCCGGGGUUUUGCCAACCCUACUUCUUAUUCAAAUAAAAAUCACAAAACUUCUCUUUUUUUAUUCAAAUGUAAAUGUCUGUAAAUCAUAUAUAAGUUAAAAAUAAAUAAAUAAAUUUUAAAAAAUUUGACUUCAGACGUUUGGGUGCCGCAGCAUUCUACCAUGCUUCGUAGGAUCGUUGCUAAUAGCGUAGUUUCACAUCCAUGAUAUCAUUGAUAAGGCCCGGCUCCCAUAUUUCCACGUCAUCGUCGAUGUCGACGUCACCGUUGAUCAUCUCGAUCACCGUCGACAUGCGAGGUCGGAGGCUAGAUUUUUCUUGUACACAGAGUAGGCCAACCUUCAGGAAUCGAACGGCUUCAUUUCCUGAGAAGUUACCGCAUAGCAUUGGAUCCACUAAAUGUUGAAGCUUGUCUGUGUUGUGCAUUUCCCAAGCCUGCUUGAUUGCACGAAAUAUUUAAAUCUCCAAUUUUCUCUGUUGUCUUAUACACUUUAUUUGCUGAAAAUUUUUAGAUGCAAUUUACAAAAUUGAUAUCGGAGCAACGCAUUAAUAGUUUUCAUUAUUUUUUUACUACUAAACACCGGUGUAUUGAUGCUCCAAUUCACAUUUUGUAAAGUAUGGAUGUCCCCACACUUUAUGAUAUCAAAUAUGGUACCAUUUUUGGAAAGAAAGAAUCAUCUGCAAAACGGAUUAUGAAUAGAUACACACACAUAUAUAUAUAUAUAUAUAUAAACACAUAUUACCUUCUCCACUAGAUAAUGCUCUCCAAGCUCUUUGUCAAAAUGAACUGCUGCUUGCCCGGUGACUAUUUGAAGAAGUAGCACUCCAAAACUAUAGAUAUCUGAUUUUGGAUUUAAAUGACCACUAACAGCAUAGUCUGGAGCGAGAUAGCCUCUAAUUUAAUUUGUACAAAAUUAAGUGAGCAUAAAUAAUUUCAACAACCUUAUACAAUAAACAGAGAAGAUUAAUUUGUGAAUUUGAAUUUAAUGUUAAGCUAUCAGCAUUGUGUUGAGUUUUUACAACAUUGUGAUUGAUAAUUAUUAGAUAAAAAAUGAUUUUCAAAAAUCAAAUAUUAAUUGUUCACUACUGUAAAUGCACACGUGACUAAUGAUUAUAAAAAGAUUCAGCAGAGACCAGCUCAAUAUUGAAUCUAAAUUUAUAAUAUGUAUGUUGUUGCACUUACAAUGUGCCAGCGACCCGUGUGCUAAUAUGAGUAAUGUCCUCUGGGAAUAACUUGGAGAGGCCAAAAUCUGAGAUUUUAGGAUUAAAAUUUUGAUCCAAAAGAAUAUUACUAGGUUUAAUAUCUCGAUGCACAAUACUUGGCUUAAUUUCCUCAUGAAUAUAAGCAAGCCCCCGAGCAAUUCCUAGUGCAAUUUCCCGCCUUGCUGUCCAGCUAAAUUUAGCUCUAUUUUUCUCCUCACCUGCCAUUAAUUCAAGAUUAAUUAAAAAAAAUAUUAAUUAAUUCAAGAAACCACGUUGCAUUAAUUAAGAAAACAGAACAUUACGGACAUGUAUAUACACUACUAUAUUGAAUGGGUCAACAUCGAGUGUGUUUUAUGUUACUGAUUUAACGUCAAGAUGCCAUAGGAUUAAUACAGGAUAUUAAAAACUUAUCAGGAUUAAAAUGGGUAAAAUAAUUUUUAACAGGGGCCAAAAUAUCAUUCCUUACAAGAAAAAAGUGCUUUUAUACUAAUCAAAUUACAAAAUAACAUUUUCAAACAAAUCCGUAAUAUCAAAGAUGGGGAGACAUAUAUACAAAUACCAAGCAAUGUUUGAGAGAGACUGUUGUUUUGCAUGUAAUCAUAGACAAUGAUUCUGCAAGGCCCUUCAAUGCAACCACCAUGAAGCUUUACAAGAUUUUCGUGACAAAUAUUUGCCAUUGAAGCUACUUCUGACAUGAAUUCUUUCUCUCCUUGAUUGGAUUCCACUGAAAGCACUUUCACGGCUACAACAGUUCCAUCUUGAAGCUUUCCCUUUAAGGUCCAACCAAGAAAUAAAUUAAUUUUUAUGCACAUAUGUUAAAAUUAAUUCGAUUAAUAAAAAAAAAUUACAGAAAAUAUACCUUAUAAACGGAGCCAAAUCCACCUUCGCCGACUUUAUUGGAUGAACAGAAGCCAUUAGUGGCACUUUUCAGUUCAUAGUAGGAGAAUGCAUUAAUAUUUUUCAAAAUUUUUGCACCUGAUUUCGUGAAAAAGUUAGCUACAUGAAGCGUACUUAAGACGAAUAAUUAACUUAUAUGUUAGGAACAAUGAUGUGAUCAUACUGACCAAUUACCACUGAUCACAUUGCUUGAUAAGUUGACAAUAACAACAUGUAAAGUCAAUUUAUAAGAGACAUUUAAGGAAAAAUUAAAAGGGUAAGUGCUCCUUUAGACUUUAAAGUUCGAGCUAAUUUCAUAUAUAGUUAGUUCUUAAAUUUAUAAAAAUUAAUUAAAACACCUUGUUGUAUAUUGUUCUCAUUAAAAUUUAUUUAUUUUUAUUUAAUUAUUCUCUACUUUUACUUAUAACAUAUCAGUUCAAUUUCACUAUUAAUUUAUAUUGGAUGGAAAUGAAGUUCAAUUUAUUUGACUAAUUUUUGAAAAUACAAAAACCAACAACCUAAUUGACCAAAUCCUAAGAUUGAAGAGGCAUUUAUCCUAACAAAAUUGACGAUAAGUAAUUUUAAAUAUAUUGACUACGCAAACUCUGAAAAAAAGUUGGUCAAAAUGAUAACAAAAUACAGAAGUUCACAUGAGAGAAAGACUCUUAACUCUAUGAAUGAACCAUAUGUAUGUAUGUAUGUAUGAGAUGAUCACAUGAGGAUGAAUACUAGAAAAAUGUUUUAGAUAUGUGCUUUUUGGAAAUACAAUAAUUUGUAUUUGUAUAUUACCUCCUACAGUGUCCUCUGCAGAGAAAUUUGAUGGCCAAGCAAAGCACCUUGACAAAGGAAAAAAGAACUUCAUCUCAUCAAAUUAUCUAUGUAAUUUACUUCUGAUCAAUGCAUGAAUACUAACGAAAGAAAAGAAAGAGAUUUCACAUUGAAAUGUAUGUGCCAGUGACUUUUAGCUGAAAACGUUUAUAAUGUAUAUAUAGCAAUCAUUAAAGAAUUUUUUUAUUGCCACUUGGGUAAUCAAUGAAGUAAUCAAUUAGCAAAUCUUUAAAUUAAACCGUGAUUCAAGUAAGGAGCGUUGGUACGUGUACGACUCUUUAAUUAUCCAUUAAAUUUUUGAUGGCCCAGAACUUUAAUUGAUAUUUUCGCAUGUUUUCAGCACCGUUGGAUUGCACAUUCCAUUGACUUGGUGGAGAGAGGACGAACCGGAGAAGGGCGGCGGUUAGUAUUAAUUAUUGUUUGUGCAUCAUGUAUGAUUGCUUUUGUUUAAUAUUUUUGACUCUUUGAUAAGCAAAAUUAUCAUAUUUAAAUUACUGAGUGUUUUGCAGUCUAUGGACUUCAGAAUCAUUAUAAUUACAAUCUAGGUCAAUGUGAGUUGUGAAAUUUUGAGGAUUUAGCCAGCCAUGAUGAUCUAGACGAUUUGUUGAAUUGGUAUUAGAACAAGAAGGAUGCCGCGAAAUUGUUAAUCGAGAUGAAUAAGCAAAAUUUAUAACCUUAUUAAUUAAAUUGAAGUCAAUACCGUAUCAUGCUCUUUUAUCCCUCAUUUCAUUGUUUGCCACUUGCCACAUGCUACCCUUACAGUCUAUUUAAUAUAUAUGGUUUUAAAAAAGAAAAAAGAGAGAGAGAUAGGAUUAUAACUUAUACUCAAAAAUUAGUUUAAGAGUUGAGAAUCACUUCAAGUCCGUAUUAUAUUAUCAGCUAAUGUGAUAUAUUUUCAUCCGCAAAGGUGCUAAUCAGAACUGAACAUUGCUUGUUAAACCCAAUGAUUUUGUUAUAGAACGUUAAGAAGAAGUGACGGAAACUGGGUUUGAAACUGUAGUCGGUUUUUUUUUUUACUUUAAAAAUUUGGAAGUUUUUUGUACUGCAUGAUCAAUUGGAUAAUAAAUUAAUAAGCCAAAGAGUAUGGCAGCGGCUCUUAAAAUAACUUAAAAGUAAUUAUUCAAUACAACAUAAUGGUAACAUGCAAAAUAAGUGAGAGAUUAUAGAUAAUUAUAUUUGGAUUUGUUAGUAGUUACUUAUACUGUAACUUAGCAAGAACCAGAUGUGGUGAAGUCAAUACCAUGUAUCAUGCUCUUUGAUCUUCUAUCAAUUUCAUUGUCUACCGCAGAACAUACCUUGCAUAAUCCUUAUCUUUCUAAUAUCAUUGUUAUAGUUUCUUGCUUUCCAUAAUUCGAAUUACUUUCAUCUAAAUUCUCGGUGAAAUUGAGGAUUUACUGACUAGAUACGACAACACAUUAAUUUUCAAAUCUAACUUUAAUCAUGUCAUUCAUAAUUUUCAUUUUAAGAAACGAGAGGGUGUAUUUUAAGUUCAGUCAUAAUUUUUUGACCAAGGAAUGAAUAGUGUCUUGUAGGUAAACUGACCUCGUUUUAUACUAAAUGCAGUGUUCUUUUGUUUUUUUCCCCCCCAAAAGAACUUCGUCCAUUUGACGACUUUAAGAAAUAAAAUCAACAUUUUCAAUUACGUUGAUUUUUUUACUAGACUACGAUGAUUUAAUAACGAAUCUGACUUAAUAAUCAAUAGAGAUAAAUUAAUCUUACUGCAACCCCCUUGAAAUUGCAAGUCCACUCUCUCUCCGAAAAUAAUAUCAUCCAAAUAAGUCCUUCUAAGACCUAGAUGAAGAAUUUUGGCUAUCAAAAUUUUCACGCAUCACUAUCGGAUUCAACACAACUUUUAACAAUUCUCAUUGGGAUUUGAAACACUGAUUGGGCAGUUGGGCCUAGACAUAAUUUAAAUAACGCAAGCUUUUCAAACGCAGUAGAUCUAUUAGCACCCCUCCAUAUUCCUGAGAAAGCCUCCUUUGUUUUUAGUUAUGGUCAUGACCCUGCUACUCAAUUACAACCCUGGACGACUUUUUUUUUUUUCCUUUUAUCAUUGCUUUUUUAUUUGAUUUGGAAAUUUCUGAAAAAAAAAAAAGGAAAUUCCAUUGAAGUCGUGGAGUAUAAACAAAAUUCCAGCUUUGAAGAAGCCACCACUGUGAAAAUCGAAGGCCAAAAUUCUAACUUUAGUAGAGUAAAAGUUAAGAACGAAAAAUUUUAAUUCUAUAGAAGAAAGAGAUUUUAUGGUAAAUGCAAAGUUUACUAAUGAUGAGAUAGAGAGCAUUCCAAAUUAAAAGAACAAUGAGUUAUAAUUGCAUUCGUGUUUUUAGAAUACUAAUAAAAAAGUGAGAAUCACCAAUAGUUACUUGUGAAUUUGUAGAAUAAGUAUUUCUUUUGUAGAUAUAGUGAGAAAUACAAAUAAAGUAGGGUUGGCAAAAAAGCCCGGGCUUAGGCCCGGCCCUCACCCAUGAGGGCCUGGACAAGGGCCCAAGAAAAAAAGUCCGGACAAAGCCCAAGCCCACUACUUUUUAAAAAAAAUUAUAAAUUAGAAUAAUAUAAUUAAAAUUGAAAAGUACUUUAAAAAUAAAAAAGAAAACUUAAAUUCUUAACUUAUAAAUCAAUUAUGAUUCAAAAAAACUAAAAUUAUGAUACUAAAUUCUCUCUUUUGUGUCAAUUAAUUAAGAGAGCGUUUGAAUUAGAAAAUCCGGUAUUAAAGAAAAUUAAAGUUAUGAGUUUUUAUUUGCUUUAUUUAUUAUUUUAAUUUAAAAUAUUGAUUUUCUUUAAUUUAUCUAUUAUUAUAAUAACUUGUUGAUCAUUAAUUUAUUUCAAAUUUAUAAUAAUUUAAAUUUUUAAAUAAAUAACUAAAGCCCAAGCCCGGCCCAGGCCUGCAAUGUGCCCGGCCAGGCCAGGCCCAGGCCCAUACACUUAACUAACAGAGGGCCUGGACAUGGGCUUGAAAAAGCCCGGCCCAGGCCCGCUGUUUGCCAUCCCUAAAAUAAAGAGAGAUUAUCAGUUUCCUCUACUAAAAUUAAUAUUUAAAGAAUCUCCAAAAGACUCUAUUAAAUUUACUUUUCAAAUAUUUAUUUGCUUAUUUAUGUGGUAAAAAUGAGAGUAAAAAAAAAUAUUAUUAUCCAAAAGACUCUUCAAAUAGGAAUAAAUUAAUAUUAUUUUAAUCAAAUAAAUAUUUUUUCAAAGAAAAAUAAAUGUUAAUUAAAACACUUCUCUCUCUCUCUCCAAUAAAAAAUAAUAAAAUAUAAAUUGAAUUGAAAAGGGAUAAAGCAACUCUACAAAAUUAAAAAGAAGUAAUCAUUUUUUAUUUGAAAAAUCUUAAUCAUAGUGUUUUUUAGAGUUUCAAAUGCUGAUGUGACUAUUCAAAUAAGUAUUAAAAUCUUAUUUGAAGAGGUUUUUAAGAUGCUCUUCUUACUAGUUUUUUCAUACUAAAAUCAAUACAUACUACUUACCUCAUUAUUGUUUUCAUAAUAGCCAUAAACUCAUUGCCAUCAUAAUUUUAUAAUGUUGUCCUUAUUUUCAAAUACGCUAUUUAUUUAUAUUUAUUAUUAAUUAAAUAAAUCAUAUAAACAAAAAUUAAAUCUAUUUAUCUCUAUUUUUCUUUAAAUUUUUUAUGUUAUGAGAGUUAUUAGUCAUUAUGAAAACAGUAAGAAGGGUAAGUGAUAUAUAUUAAUCUUAGUAAAGGGAAACUAACAAUCUCUUUUUUUUUAAUAAUUUUAUUGGAAUGCAUUUGUUAUAAAAUUAACCGUUAGUAAAAACCAUCACCUAAAUUGUAGGAACAUUCAUGUUGAGUUAUCAAAAAUCAAUAAUAAAAUAUGUAGAAGCGUUCCUAAAUCAACAAUGCUUAAUUACUCUCUAGAACUGUAUGGUUUAUCUUCCAGAUCAAUAUAUUAUCCUAGAAAAUCCUUUAAGUUUCUCUAGGCACUCUAUUUGAUGACAAGAUGUCAAAAAAGAAUAGAAUAUUACGUGUGAUAUGGGAACCAAAAUCACUUAUACAAAUAACUUUCCCACUAUCUUUAUGUACUUCUAUUUUAGCCGAUCAUUGAAAUAAAAAUUACUCUUAAGUCUCUACUUAUUAAAGACUCAUACCUUAUCAAAUACAUUAAAGUACAAAUUAUCGAAAACCUUAAUAGUUCAAUUUUACUUGAGAUUAACCUUAUAAGACAAUAGGCAACAUAUAAUUAUUCAUAUAUAAACCUAAUGUUAGAUUAGAAAUCCAACAACAUUUUUGAAAAAAAUGGUUUUAUAAUGAUUGUGAAGGGUGCUAAUAGCCACUCUUUAAAUUAAGGAGGAUCAUCAAAUCACUCCUCUAAUUAACAAAAGUAACAAUUAGGCUCAUAAGUUAAUUUCCCAUUUGUCUCAAAUAUUUGUCAAUAAAUUUGCAUAAUAACUGUAAGAACAAAAUAAACCCUUAGAACUUACUAUUGUAACAAAACAAUUUAAUCUAAUAAAAAAUUUAAAUAAAAUACUGAAAAAGAUUUGAUAAAUUGAUGGUAUUGUCUUUAGACAUUUCAUUAUUUUGCUAAUGGUAUUGGAUGGGUACGAAAAAUUUAAAACAAGCAAUGAACUUGUAUACCUUUUUUUUUUUAAUAGGAAUUAAAACCUUCAUUCAUUUAGAGAUCAAAGAAGAUACAAAAUGUUCUCUGGGAAUGUUCCCAUCCAAACUGCAGGUUCGUCAUAAUCAAAGGCUGAUUUAGCUAAAAGGUGGGCAUGGGCAUUACAAGUCCUUGGGAUAUACUGAAUUCUAAUUUUACCCAACUCUUUAGCCAGAUCUUGGACCUCCGAUAUCACCCAGAAAACCUCAGUUCUACUGCCUGCCUUUCUGUUGAGAAGGUUUGAAACGGUUUGAGAGUCAAUUUCCACUAUAAUUGAAGACACCCCCAAAGUUUUCGCUGUCUACAACCUCCAUUCUACAGCCUCAGCCUCUGCAAAAGUUACAUCCCCAUGAAACUUUGAUGUCUUUACUGCAGCUGCUAUAAACUUUCCAGUUGAGUCUCUAGCAACAACUCCCAAACCUACUGAUUUCUUCUCCCUAUUUAUGGCUGCGUCCACAUUGAUCUUAAGCCAUCCUUGAAGAGGUGGAAUCCACUGCUGUUGUUGCUUCUAAACUAAGCUCAUGUGCAGGUGUGAUUCACUUGGAGAUUUGAUUCUUUUAUUGGAUUCUAUAACAGCCUCAACUUUUGCUAAAGAGAUCAGAGGAUCUACUUUCUUCCUUUCAAAAAGGAAAUUGUUUCUUGCAUGCCAGAUUGCCCAAAACACAACCACCAACAAUUCGAAUUCUGCAUGAUUCAAACAUUUCUGUCAUCUUUUGCAGCACAUCUACCAUGCUUUGUUCUGUAAGAGAAUAGACUUUAUCUAUAAAAUGGACCAUUCUCCAUAUCUUUCGAGCUGAAUUACAGUCCACUAAAGCACGAGAAAUGCUUUCCAUCUCCCUUUUACAGAGUUGGCAGAUAGGUUCUGGUAUCACUUUUCUCCUCCAUAGGAUUUCAGCUAAUAGUAACAAGUUUUGGACAUCUCUCCACAUAAAUAUUUUAAUUUUUUCAGGCAGGGUACUAGCCUAAAUAUUUUUCCAAAUUCCUGGCUUAUUUGCAAAGCAGCUGGGAAGUUCUUGAAACUUUAUCCUCUGAGCAAUCUUAUAUCCACUUUUGACUGAAUAAUUGCCUUUCUUAUCAUAAUACCAGAAUAUCUGAUUGAUCUUUAGUCUUUGUGGGAAAAGAAUGCUGACUAUUUGAUCUGCACAUUCCUUUCGAAAAUAAUGGUACACUUUAGUCAAAUUUCAGCUUUGAUUAUUAUUAAUCAGUUCAGAAACCACAACAUCAUAUGGAAGGGUUGGAAUAGAAAUUGGUCUGAACGUUGUUGGUCUUGGGAUCCAAUUGCAACUGUAAAUCUGCACCUUAUUUCCUGAACCGAUCCUCUAUCUAUAUCACUUCUGGAUUACAAGUCUCCCCCAUAGAAUACUUUUCCAGAUGUAAGAAGGAUUGGACCCCAGUUUUGCCUGCAAGAAAUCAGAAUUUCUAAAAUAUCUUGCUUGCAAAACUCGAGCCAUUAAAGAAUCUGGAAACUAAAGAAUCCUUCACCCUUGCUUAGCUACCAAUGCAUGAUUAAAACACGAGAAUUCUUUAAAACUCAUUCCUCAUCUGCAUUUUGCUUUGCUGAGCCUCUCCCACCUUACCCAAUGAAUGCCUUUUCCGAUCAUUCUUGGAUCCCUACCAAAGUUUAGGUAUAACUUUCUAGAUAUCAUCAUAAAGUCCUUGAGGAAUUUUGAAUACACUCAUGGCAUAAGUUGGAACCGCUUGGGCUAUGGCUUUUAUAAGGAUCUCCUUGUCACCUUUGGAGAAAUGCUUGUGCUGCCAACUUGAAACUUUGCUUAUCACCCUAAGCUUUAUGUCGUUGAAGAAGUUCAUUUUGUUUCUUCCGAUCAUGGAUGGUAGCCCAAGGUACUUCUCAUGUCUGGACACAACAUUCAGGUAAAAAAUUUCUUUAAUCGCAGCCACUCGGUCAGCCUUGGUAUUACCACUAAAAAACAUUAAAGAUUUGUCUAGGUUGAAUAACUGGCCAGAAGCAGUAGUGUAGCGAUCAAAGAUUGUUUUAAGAUGCUUGCAGUCAGCAACUGUUGCCUUUGUGAAGAUCAAGUUGUCGUCUGCGAACAACAGAUGGGAUACUAAGAUAUUGUUUCCAAACCUCAAUCCAUGUAUGAGGUUUUGAUUUUCAACCUACAUUAAUAAUCUGUAAAACACCUCAGCACACAAAAUAAAGAGAUAAGGGGACAAUGGGCAUCCUUGUCUAAGCCCUCGUUGCGGUUUUAUCUACCCUUUAGCAGCCUUAUUAAUAAGAACAGAGAAAGACGUGGUGGUGAUACAUCUCAUUAUUAGAUCAACCCAGCAUAAAACCAAGCCUAAUAUGAGCAUUGUAGCUUUUACAAAGGACCAUUCUACUCGAUCAUAAGCUUUACUUAUAUCUAAUUUUAGUGCCACAAAUCCAUUUUUCUUUCCCUUGCUAUGCCUAAUUUUGUAAAGACACUCAUAUCCAACGAUCACAUUAUCUGUUAUAAGCCUAUUGGGGAUAAAUACACUUUGGGAGGGGGAUAUAAUUUAGUGAAGAAUUUCCUUAAGUCUAUUUGCAAUGGUUUUUGCCACAAUUCUAUAAAUUACAUUACAAAGACUUAUAGAUUUGUACUCAGCCACUUUCUUUGGUUUCUCCACCUUAGGAAUAAGAGCAAUAUAUGUGUGAUUUAGUGAAUCAAUGUUACCUUGCUCGUUGAGAAUGUGGAGGCAUGUGUUGAUAACUCCUUCACGGACCAACUUCCAGUGCUUUUGAAAAAAGACUGCCGGCAGUCCAUCUGAGCUAGGGGCUUUGGUGGGACACAUCUGUGAUAAUGCUGUUGUUAUAUCCUCUUUAGUGAAAGGUUGUUAAAGUUUUUCAUUCAUCUCACCCAUGACCUUUGGAACCAGAUCAGCUAAUGCAACCUCAAUUUGAGCUUGCGAGGGAUUCGACGACUUAAAGAGCUUGUUAAAAAAACCACAAAAUUCCUUAUCUACUUAUCUUUCCUCCUUAGUCUAGUUGCCUCGUUCAGUUUCAAUUCCUUUAAUUUUUUUUUCCUUCUUCUUGAUGAUGCUUUUAAGUGGAAAAACUUAGUGUUUUUAUCUCCCUUCUUCAGUCAAUCCGCUCUCGAACUCUAUUUCCAAUAUAUCUCCUCAUCAUCCAAAAUUUUAUCAAUUUGCUUCUCAAUUUUUCUUAUCUCAGCUCCAUCUACAUAGGAUAUAAUACUCUGUCUAGCCCUUUGUAGCUCAUUUGUUAAUGACUUUAGCUGUUUUGUUCUCUCACCAAACUCUUCCCUGCUCCAAAUCUUCAGCUGAGCCAUUGUCAUCUUAGCUGAUUUUUUAAACAAUUGUACCGGGUUCACAUCAGUCCACACCCCUUGCAUACUCCACUCAUGCUUGAUUAUUUUCUUAUAGGCAUCAUACGAGCUCCACAUAUCCUCAUAGUGAAUUCUUUGCACGCUCUUUCUUCUACUGUUUACUUCAACACCCCUCUCCUCAACUUCCAUUAUCACUGGGCUAUGGUCUGAGCUCCGGGACUCUAAAUUAAUAGCUGCCAAAUCAUGGAAUCGGUUGCCCCACUCAGAGUUGCACAAAAACCUAUAUAAUCUCUCCUCUAUGAAGUUUGGCCCAUAUUUUCGGUUUGACCUUGUAAAAAUUCUUCCUUUGCACCCCAUGUCAGUUAAAACACAUUCUUGGAUUGCAUUUCUAAAUUCAAACAUCAUAUUUACAUCCCUAUUAUUCCCUCAUUUCUUCUCAUGCAAGUGCAAUAUUUCAUUAAAAUCACUGAAGCAUAGCCACGGUAAGGGAGAUAAGUUUGCUAACCGUUUCAUUAAUGUCCAUGUGUGCCUCUUUUGAGUUGUUUCUGGAUGCAUGUAUACCCUUGUGCAUCUCUAAUUUUUCCCUCCUUCAUUACAAAUCUCGGCAUCUAUAUGAUGUUGACUGUAAGAGGCUAUAUUUACAGCUAUAUCAGAACUCCAGAGCAUUGUUAAUCCCCCUCUUAACCGAUUCCUACCAACUGUAAAGCAAUUCUCAAAUUUCAGCUCAACACGAACAUCCAUUUGCAUAGGCCGCAUCUUAGUCUCACAUAAGAAAACAAUUUGUGGCUUAUAUGUUUGGAGAAUAUAUUUGAGUGACGUCUGGAUAUUCCCCAAACCCCAGACGUUCCAGCUGAGGAUUUUCAUGGCUGUCGGCGGGCUGACUACCAGCCUCCGCCGUUAAUUCAUUGAUAGUUGUCUCAGUCACCUCCAUUUAUUCCAUGUCUUGUGUUUCUAGACUGGAGCUAAGCUCUGUUAUGGAGCAAUUUUCAUUAUGCGUUGCUUCCAUCCUCAUCUAGUUGUCUAUUUUUUAUUUUUUAACUUUUGGACUUAACUUUCCCGCUUUUUGCAUGGGCAUUUUCUUGGCAAUUUAACCCAUUUUAUUUUCAUCUUUAGUGCAAUUAUCUAUUGUCAAAUGCUUCCAUCUCCUUGUUUUAGGCCUCUCCAUAAUUGUUCUCGUUUCCUCUUUUACCAAUUCCUUCAUUGAAGUUGCUUGGGCUUUGUUUACUAAGCCCAUUGAUCCCAACUUUUGGAUGUCUUCUGCAUUUCCACCUUCCCGCCAGUUUCCUCCCGCUUCUUUGUCCACAUUUCCCAACAUCUCUUUCUUUCCAGCUGUUGUGAUUUGAUCUUUACACCCAAGUGGCUGCUGCAUCGAUUUCUUCCCUUUUAAUGUUAAUUGUUUAUCCAAUUCCACUGCCACGUGGCUUUUGCUUAUUGGUACUGUCGACUCGCCCGUUUCAAUCUGGAUUGCUUCUGACCCGGUUUCUGUAGUUGAGAUGGGUUGCCUCUGUCUUUGGUUAUGGUUCCUCAGAUCAUCUUGUUGCCCAUUCUCAUUCAUCCUUGUAUUAUUGCUUUUGUUCCACCUAUAUUAGACUUGUUAUGGUUGAGACGUUCGAAUACUAUUACAGCCUUUAUCCAUGGACCAAAAGUAAAGUUUUCUUGUUUAUGAGUUUUGUACUUGACACAUUCUCUGAACUGAUGGCCGAUGAUUCCACAACAAAAGCAAGAGUCUGGUAAUCUCUCAUAUAUAACUCGCAUUGGGACUUUUUCUUCCCCCUCUGAUUCGAGAAAGAUAAUAUUCUUUAACGGUUUUGUAUCAUCCACUCUAAUUCAGACUCUAGCAAUCUCCCCAAUAUAUUCCCCAUCUUCGUUUGUCUCUACUUUCUCUACACUACCAAUAAUAAUUCCCAGUCUUGAAAUUGCUUCUAUAUUCAUGGCCAUAAUUGGUAUGUUAAGAAUCUGGACCCAAAAGGAAACGUGGGUGAAUGCUUGCUUUGUAAUGUUUGCUAUUCCUUCUGGCUCUGUAAGGACUAUCAAAGCUUUAUUAAAAUAAUAGGGCUUGCCGGCUAGCACUAUUCUUUUAUCAACUUCUAAAGUAAAUUUGAACAUGAACACAUUUUCUCCCAAACUCUCAACUCUCACCCCUAGUACUGUUCUCCACACUUGGUGAAUCACUGAUCUGAGCCCUUCAAUAUUGACUCCCCUUGUGGUUAGAAAUUUUCCAACUAAACAUCCUGCAAUAAUUUCUGCACCUUUUAUCUUCAUCUUGUUGACAAAAGACACUUUGUCUUCUUCUUCUCCUUCUAAAGAAAUGGCAAUACAUAGUGGUUCCCCAAGGAAUAAAUUCUCUCACCAACCCCUUUAGUGUUUUCUUAACUUUUUACACCCUCUGCUUAGCUUGAACUAAUCAACAAGAAACUUUAUAGAGAGCCUUUUACUUCUGACUUUCCAGAACACUAAAGAAACAUCCACUCACUCAGCUAGGGGUGACAGGAUUGAGUCACUCGGACCCCAUUACCCUUUCAUUCAAAGUUCUCUUUCUAGAGAAAGAGACUAUUGAAGAAAGACUAGUCAACGGUGUCUUUACAAACGUGUCAUUAUAGCUUGUAUACCUAUUUGUUACCUUCGUAAAUCAUGCGGUUGAAUUUUAUAUUUACUCCUUAAUGAUGUCCUUGAAUUAUGCUUAACGUAAAAAAUAGAGAAGCUAUUCAUUAUCAAUUAUCACUUGUCUCAUUCAUUACCUUUAUCAUCAUUUUUUCUGUUAAUUAUUAAAUAGGUAGUACAAUGCAAAUAAUGAUAAAUAUAGCACAAUAAUUUGGGUGGAACCUAAACCCAGUUCAAAUUCAUCAACAUGUUGUCAAUGCCUAAACAUCUGAAACCAAAUAAACAACAUAUGACUAAACUUUCACAUCUACAGAGAGACUUAAAUUUGUUGAUCUCAAUGAAGAGACUGUCAAUUGACCAACUAAAUCGAUUAAGAAAUUGUUAGCAUUAAUCAUCAUUUUAUUUUUAUUGGAUUUUCAAUAAUGUGUAGUUAUUAUGAAUUGGAAUUUUGAUGUCAGUCACAUGAACAAUUAGUAAAAUAGUUAUUAAAUUUUAAAUUAGUUAAAAAAACAAUAAAGGGCACACGCACACGCACACACACACGUGUAAAAGUAGUGGUUGAGCAUGACCAUAUGCAAGACAAAGAUCACACCAUGUGGAAGGAAUGUUUGCAUGCUAGAAAAACAUUGGCAGAAGUAUAUAACGUGGAGCCCAUAUAUAAUACUCAUAGUCAUUACCUACAAACUAUAUGACUCUUCAGAAGAUGAACCAUUAUUUAUGCAUAAGGAUGUACUGUGUGAUGUAACAUAAAGUAGUAGUGAGUUAUAAAGUAAUAUUCUUUAAGUGAUAAGAUGUAAUGAUGUAUUGUGUAUUUGGCCAGAUCACAUUACCAAAUCUUUAUAUAUAUAUAAGAUUUUAUCUCAAAAGAUAUGACAUAUAAUUUAUUUUUUUUAAAUAUCUGGUGUAAGAUUAUUACAUUAAUUAUAGAAAAUAAAGAUAGCACAUGAGACAUGGCAAGUUUUAAUUAUGGUGAUGUAUGCAAUCUUGUUAGUUUUAAUUAUGUUCGAAUUUUAUGAGACUUAUUAUAUUAUAAUAAGAACAUUUAUCUCUUAUUAAUAAGAACAAAUUUUCAGAGAUUGAUCCAAAAUUUAGAUUCUCUCGCUGCUAAAGUCCUAAAGGCGAAGUAUUUUAAAAAUGAUGAUUUCCUGAGUGCUUCAAUGGGCUCAAAUUCAUCUUAUGUAUGAAGAAGUAUAUUGUGGGGACGACAAGUGAUUCUCAAGGGCUAUAGAUGGAGAAUUGGCCCGGGGGGGUGGGGGUGGGGAAUAUUUCAGUGUAUAUAGGAAAUUGGAUUCCAAGACCAUCCAACUUCACAGUCUAAAAAUGGCUCUUGAUGCUACUGUAUCAGUGUUGAUAGAUAAUGACAACAAGUGGAAGAUUAAUUUGAUUCAAUUCUAAAUACUUUUAUUAGAAAUAUCGAUUAAGUAUCUCUAUUUAUUUCAUUUAUCUCAUUGUUGAUAUAAAAGUAAUUUUUUAUUAUUAUAGGAUUAUGAAGAAUGACAAAGAUAAUUAUUAUGGUGAUUUGUACUUUGUAAUGUGACUUUUGUAAUGGAUUAAUGUUAAUGUAAGAUAUAUUGUAAAAAAAAAAUUUAUUUUUUACUUUAAUAUGAUUAAAUUAAAAUAAAAAACUAAAAACGUAUCAAUUAUUCGGGGAUCAGGUAUUCUUGUGGAUCCCCUAUUAUUAUUCGGGGAGGGGACGAGGAUUCCCUAAAGCAAUUUUGUCAGAAAUAAGGAGGAGAUGAAGAUAUAUGCAGAAUAUUAGGGAUGGGUACGGGCAGGUCGGUCUCCUCCCUUCCCCUUCCCCUUCCCAUUGCCAUCUCUAAUUCUAAAUGAAGAUGCAAAUGCAAUUUUAAGUAUUCCACUAUUGUGAAAGGGACUCACACAAGCAGUUGCAAAUUAAGUAGAAACAAAACUUUUUCCUUCUUUGUGUAAUUAAAAUCGGAUGUUUACCACAAAUAAAUAGGUAGAAAAAUAAACUAAAACAAUCCAAAACAAAAAUCAACCAUAAAAGAUACAGAUUUUACGUGGAAAACACAAAGUGAGAAAAAUCACGAGACUAUAGUUCAAUAUAAUCUUCCAUUAGAUUAAUGAGAUUACAAUACAAAUUCUUAUCUAGAUAAUACUAAAGGUUAACAAUAUAAAAAGUCUCAAUAUUCUUGACUUACAAUAACAGUCUAAUAUAUGUUUCUCUUAUAAAUGAAUAUAUCAAAUAAUAGCUAACAAAAUAAUAAAAUAAAAAUUUAGACAAGUAGAAUUAUAGAAGAUGAUGUUAGAAAUUUAUUCUCAAAAUUUAAAAAAAAAUUAAAAUUAAAAUUACCUUUCGAUCGUUUAAAAUCACUGUUUUUAAAACAAAAGCCGUGUUCUUUCACUCUCCCUCGCCUUUUUCGAUUACGUAAUUAGGGCUGCCGCAUGCUUUUGUUCUUUAUAUAGCCAACGUCCUUUUCAAAGUCAAAUUUUAUGGUAAUUUUCACAUAACUCUAACUUAUUUUUUUAAUUGUUUAAAUAUCCAAAUUAAUGAAACCUGGACUUUAACCAUCCAAAUGAAAUGGAUUCUGACACUAUCACAAAAAAGGGAAGUACUAAGUUAAGAAUGGAUACCAAGUGGUAGGGGUGGGCAUUUUACCCGAUCCGACCCGACCCGACCCGAUAAAUUUCGGGUUCGGGUCGGAUCGGGUCGGGAUCGAAACCCGAUCGAUUUGAAAUUUACAAACUCGAUCGGGUUGUGAUCGGUUCGGGUCAAAUUCGACCCGAAUACCCGAUCGGGUUCUUAAAAAAAAAAAAAAACAUACUGACCCGAAUUGACCUGAUUUCAACCGACCCGAACUGACCCGAACUAACCCAAAUUGACCCGAACUCAAUCCUACCCAUUUUAAAUCCAACCCGAUCCAACCCGAACAUAACCCGAAUUAAUGACCCGACCCGAACUAUGUUCGGGUCGAUUCGGAUCGGGUCAUUAAUUCGGGUUAUGUUCGGAUUGUUCCUUGUCUAACCCGAACAACCCAAAACCCGAUCGGGUUAACCCGAACCCGAUUUUACCCACCCCUACCAAGUGGCUUUAAACAUGAAAUUUUUGGAUUCACCUACAUGCUCUAACAGUAAAAGUAGCAAUUGGAGCAUUAUAUGGAUGCUUACCCUCCCAGAAAAGGAUCAAGAUUCAAUUGGAGCAUUAUAUGGAUGCUUACCCUCCUGGAAAAGGAUCAAGAUUUUCACCUGAGAAGCAGCAAAAAACUUACUACCACAACUGAAAAUUUGUGGAAGCGUAGAAUUAUCUAGCUCAUUACCAGCGCUGUGGGAAUAGACUGGAAAACACUUUGCAUGCUUCGGAUACUUGCUAAGCAGCAAAGAAAAUCUGGCAACUCUCACCUAUGGCAAGUGCAAUUCAAGAGAUGGGAAAUGCAGACCUUCUUGGGGACUUGAUGAUAUUGCAGAAGAAAUUAAGUAAAGUUGAUUUAGAGCUUCUGGUGACAAUUUUUUUGGGUGAUUUGGCAUGCUAAAAACAAAUUUGUUUUCAAAGGAUUGAAGUUAGAUCCAAGUCUAUCAAUGGCCAAAGCUCAAGCAAUUAAUGAGGCUUUUAGAAGACCCCAAUUUGCAGAGAUGCUGAAAGAGAAGAAAUUGCAGAAGAAGAAUAAAAAAGUAUGGGCUCCACCACCCCAAGGAUGGCUAAAAAUCAACGUUGAAACAUCUACUGAUACAAAAAGAUAAUGCCCUCGAUUAGGAGCAAUAAUCAGAGAUUCCACAGGGAAGUGCAUAGCAGCAGCCAUAAGAACCUCGAAGUUUAGGGGAGAUGUAUCUUAUGUGGAAGCAGAAGCAGCUGAGUGAGGUAUCCAUAUUGCAAAGGAAGUAAGGUCUGCAAUCAGUUAUUUUGGAAACUAAUUCUCAAGAGGUAGCAAACUUGAUAAAUAAUAGAGGAUGUAAGAUAACAUAGAUCUACUGGAUUAUUUCAGAAAUUCAAGCUCUAAAGAAGAAUUUCAGAUCUUGUGAAGCUAAGUAUGUACCUAGAUCGUGUAACGCUUGUGCCCAUUUUUUUAACUAGGAGACCAAUAGAAAAAGCUGAAUCAGUUGUUUGGUUGGGAAAUUUUUCUCCCGAAAUUAUGACUUUCCCUUUAAAAAAAUAAAAUAAAAUAAAUUUUCGGGAAAUGUAUGUCUCGAAUCGUAAAUGACUUAAAUGAAUCUGGGCAGAUACAUGAGUUUGACUGUCCAAUACCAAUGAAUCUUUGUCGAUGAAUCCGAGCCGUCCACGUCGGGUGGGCCCCACAUUGUUACCAAGUGUAUUUAUUCAUCCAUUCCUCCUCAACACAUUCGGAGGCAAAGGCUCAAAGUGCGCGCGUCUCUUCUCUCCAUUCCCUCCAAACACAACACGACCUCAUAUUCUCUUUCAUUCGCCAACCCCCACCCCCACCACCACCACCCGGAACGACGCCGCAUAAUCCAACCAACAAAACCGACCGAACCAGCCAUCAUUACAAAGGUUAGCUUCGUUUCUCAACUUUCCAACUUUAUUAUUAUCUCUUACUUCGCUUAUAAUAUUAUAUGAAUUUUACAAUUUAAAUCUUUGCUAAUUGCAGAAGCAAGAAGAAGCAAAGUGAAUAUGGCUUUGUGUUCAUCAUCAACCUCCCCUGAGCUUAAAUGUUGUUGCUUUGACAAUUUGAGAGGUAAAAAUCCGAGCUUUAAUGAGCCAAACCAAUUUCUAAGGAUUGGUGAUUGCUAUUCAAACAAGGGUCGUGUUCAAGUUCAAGCAUCAAGCCAGCUAAGUGGGCACUUAGAAGGAUCCUUUAUGGAAAAGAAACGCCUCCAGGAACCACUUUCUCACAGGAAGCUUGAAUUUGUGAGAACAUUGUUGAUUGAUAACUACGACAGCUACACUUACAAUAUCUAUCAGGAGCUCAGUACCAUUAAUGGCGGUAAGUUUCUUCUUCUUCUUCUUCUUUUCAAUUUUUUCCCUUUGAAAACCCAGAUGCAAUUCUUUUUUCUUGAAAUUUUCAAAAGAAUUUUUGUGGACACAAUAUGCUGUCUUGUAAACGUGUAUCGGGUUGUGUUUUCGCUUGAUUUUUGAAGUUUUGCAAAUACUGCGGCUAAAGUGUUUGAAAAAAAAAAACAAAAAAAAUCACUUUACAGUUGGCGGCUAACGUGUACCAACCACUCGUUCACCUACCCAUUUAUAUUUGGUAUCCAAAACCUUCAAGGUGUUUGAUAUAUUUCAAAAUGUUCGUUAAAUGUGGUAGGUCCUAUUUCUUUGCCUCUCAUAUGUUGGUUACUAGCAUAAAUCAAGGCUCUGUUGCGUGUCAUAUUGGAAAAUGUUUUAAGUACUAGAAGAUAGAUAACCGUGACUUAUGUGUCUCCUUGUUUGUUUUAAUGCUCUGUUGACUUAUAACUGUUCAGGGAGUAAUGAGUUUACUGUUUUCCUUCUUUUAGCAUUAUCUUGAAGUCAGAUUAGUUUCCAAAAGCAAUUCUGUUUGGCCACCAGAUUAGAUUCUUGGCAGCUAACAUCGUCAUUAUGGUCAAGUCAGUGAGAUUAUGUCUUUCCUGUUUGGUAUCAUUUUUUAAGCUGGGUUCUAUUCAAAGAAUCAUUUUGUUGGGUCCGCUAGAAAAAUGGUGACAACUCUCACAGGAAAGAUGGUUGUUCAUUGAUUGAUUUGUUCAAUCUUUGUGAUCAUAAAUGUUAAUACAAGCCAAAAUGAUCAUUGUUUUGACACCUUUAUGUUGGGUUACUGUUCCAGUGCCCCCUGUUGUGGUGCGCAAUGAUGAGUGGACAUGGAGAGACAUUUGUCGAUACUUGUAUGAAGAGAAUGCAUUUGACAAUAUUGUAAUAUCCCCUGGACCUGGUUCGCCCGCAUGUCCAGAAGAUAUAGGUGAGAAAGCAAUAAUUGCUUGAUAUAUAUGUUGCUUUAUUUUUUUCUCUUUACAGCUGCUCCAGAUAUAUAGUCUAGAAAGUACAGGCUGGAUGUCUACAGGGCUUUUGCAAUCUUGAGGGGUGGAAUCUCCCAUCAUAAGUCACAACCAAAAUGAUUGCUAUUGCGUCCACAUAUAUCUAAUUGUUGCCACAUCCUGCAUAGAGUGGUAUACUACAAUUUGAUUGUUCAUACAACAACUUGAAUGUAAUUGGGAUAAUCUUGCCAGAUCAACAGAGAAAUUUUUAUCUAUUCAGACUUCUGCUUAAUUUCUGUCUACAUAAGUCUGCUUCUUAUUUUUUAAAUUUGAAAAAAUCAUGUUAAAUUUUUUUUACAGGAAUAUGUCUACGUGUGCUGCUUGAGUGCUGGGAUGUGCCUAUUUUGGGCGUUUGCUUGGGACACCAGGUAUCUCAUUUUUAAUAUUUUAUUUUUUCUUUCGUCGCUUUGGGUAUGUGUGUGUUUAUAUUAAUCUGAUACCCUGUUAUCACUAUUUCAAUUCAUCAGUUGGUAAGCAUGGGUUUGUAUGUUCACAUAUUGAUUUGUAUUUUGUUUAAUUGUUCUUUAGUGCUUUAACCUGGCUGUUGCCUCCUUUGAAUCUAUAAUAUGUUUGUUUACUUUUCCCAUUUAAGGUUUCAUGUUAUAAUCUUGGUGGGAAUUUUGUGUUCCCUCUGAGAGCUGAAGUGUAGAAUUUGUCAAACAUGGUGCUUUAUGAAUAUUGAACAACCUUUACCAUUCUAAUCAAUUUCCUAAAAUUUCCUAAUCUCCAUGGUUUUAAUAAAUUAUAGAUGAUGAUGUGAGUACUGACAAUUUUGCAGGCUUUAGGCUAUGUGCAUGGUGCUGACAUUGUCCAUGCACCUGAACCUGUUCAUGGACGCUUGAGGUAUGUUCAAAAAACAUGUUCUAUUAGUGAUAACCAUGAAUAUAUAGUUUUGGUUGAUACUGAAUCUCAUCUGUCUGACUUCAGUUAACAUUGAUAACAAAUCUACAUUUUUUUAUUUCCUGAUAAAGAAUGCUUGCUGGUGUGUACUCCUAUUUCCUUCAUUAACCUAUUUGUUGUCUUGGACAGCGAAAUUGAGCAUAAUGGGGACAGACUGUUUCAUGAUAUUCCUUCUGGCCAGAAUUCAGGAUUCAAGGUGAGUUUGUCAUCUUGUCUUUUGAACAAGUUUGAAUUACCUGUUGUCUCUUUGUAUGCUAUAACAACUACUAUUUGAUUAGUCAUUUGGUUAUUGGCGAAGUAUUAGCAUGAGAAAGUGGUGCUUUCAUUCAUGGAUUCUCAGAUUAAUACUUCUAGCAUUAUUCUCCUAUAUCACAUGCAGACAUUCUGAAAAUACUGCAAGAUUUCAAAUUUCUUCAUGUUCAUGAUUCUACUCUUCAAUCUUAUUACAUUGCAGAACAAGUUGCAAUUUGCAACUUUUGAAGCAUGCUGAAGCCAAAGUUUUACGUAUUAGAAAUGUUUUCUGAUCAUACAGAAUUGUGUGAAUACUCUGCAUAUAUGGCAACUUUGAUUUGAAAAUCCAGUGAACCAGAGUUAAAAUUAUUAAAGGCCUUCUCGUAUGUGAUUUAUCUUUCUAUGCAAUUGAAGUAUCAUCUUAGCUUCACUAUGGGUGUCAGUCACUAAGGAUUCCAGGACACUUCGUUUUUCUUCAUACAUCUUAACUGGAGGGGAGUUUUAGAAUAUAUUCUGCUCAUUUCUGUAUAGGGUUAGGUAGUCUCUUUUGGGUUAAGUCACACUUUUGGGGAUUGAUACAGUUCUGUAUAGCUUUGAUUGAUUUUGCAUGGAUAACUGGUCCAGUACUAAAGUGCUUUUGUCCAUUAUUUAGUGAUCCAAAUACUCAUAAUUUCUUAUUAAAAAAAAAAGAGUAUCAUCUUAGAAGAGUAAGCCACUGUUGAUCCAAAGGGUGUAUGGGCAUUGCUUUUGCGCUCAUUUAUUUAUUAUUUAAUGCAGGUCGUUCGAUACCAUUCACUUAUAAUAGAUGCAGAUUCCCUGCCCAAGGAACUCAUACCUAUAGCUUGGUCCAAUUCCGCAGACGGGUUUUCUUAUCUUGGGACCCUGCAGUCUGGUGAAAUCCCAGAUGCUUAUGAAAGUCAGAGUAGGCAAAAAAUCCUUCUCAGUGAUAUUUCAACCCAGAUAAAAAAUGGAAGUUAUCGGCAUUCAAUCUACUCUAAUAGAAUGCGCAGAGAAGUUCUCAUGGGUAUCAUGCAUUCUACCAGGCCUCACUACGGUGUGCAGGUGCAAGUGUAUUUGUAUUACCUCAUAUCUGAUUUUUGAUUUUUUGACUUUUACUCUUUUAUUUAUGUUCCACUUUCUUGACUUUCUUCCACGAUUCAGUUUCAUCCAGAGAGCAUUGCUACCUGUUACGGGAGCAAGAUAUUAAGAAAUUUCAGAGAGAUAACAGAAGAUUAUUGGAAGAGAUUGAGAUCACCAUUUGUUAAGGAGAGAAAUGUUCAUUAUACUGGUAAACAGGAGCUCUUUAAAAUUAUGAAUGAACUGCUGUUCUUGUUUGCUAAACCUGAGUUUUAUUUACUCCACUCUCCCUUUUCUUUUUAUACAUACAUAAACAUGCAUUUCCAUGCAUGUAUUUAAGGAAUCUACUUCUUGUUGGCUACUUCAUAUGCUGAGUAGAUGCCUAUGUUAAUUCACUUUUUACGAGGAAUACCUGUGAUUUUCUCUGGGCAGUGAACCGUUUAUAGAUGCAUGCAGGUGCUGAAAGCCUACUUCUCAGAGAAAUUACUAGAACUAGCCGAUCAGUGAAUAACUCUGAUGAACUUGGUAGAGAAGCUCUUAGACCUAGGCAAUUAUUUUGUGAUUUGGGUGAUAGAAGGUUCGGAAUUCAACAUUCAAGAAGGUUUGAAAUUCAACGUUCAAGCAUUGGAGUAAAGUGUUUAAAGUUGACAUGGAGGAAAUUUGAUCACUUGGCAAGUACAGUUGGAGGGGCAAGAAAUAUUUUCUGUGAACUAUUUGGGAAUAACAAGGCUGAAAACACAUUUUGGUUGGACAGUUCCUCGACAGAGAAGGUUGGUUUUCUGCAUAAUGACUUCUGUUACUGAUGAUGUAUUAACAUAUAAAAUAUCUUUUAUUUUGUUGGAGGUACUGUAACUUAUGUUGAAUCAACUUCAGUUGAUUGGAAAUUUUAUAUUUCUUAGUUUUCUCUUCUAUGAUCAGGGAAGAGCACGUUUUUCUUUUAUGGGGGGUAAAGGCGGAUCUCUUUGGAAGCAAGUGACGUUUAGAUUGUCUGAUCAAAGGUUUGAAUAAGCACUAGCCUUGUGAAUUAGUGCUGAAAUUUUAAAAUUUCUUUUGUUGAUUGUGUUUAGAAUGUAAUAUCUGUGUUUUUUUAGGUUUUCAUUGUUAACCAUGUACCUGGUUAUCCAUUGAACGUUAAGUUGAACAACUAAUUGCAAAGUUUCCAUAUAUUAAGAUUAUCAUAUACAAUUUGCAGAAAUGAUAUAUGAGACAUAAUUGUUUCAGUGAUGUGAAAUUUACCUCUGGAGGACAUUUAUUGAUUGAAGAUGCUGAAGGCUCUAUUGAAAGAGCAUAUCUGGAAGAAGGAUUUUUUGAUUUUUUGGAUAAGGUAUUCAAUGUAUAUUACUAUAUUCUAUCCAUAAGAAUUCUUUCUCCUAUAUACAUACAAUAAUUUAAUAAUGUUUAUACCAAAAUUAAGUCUGUUACUUAAUUCAUUGAUAUGUCUCUCAUUAUUUGAUCUCUGUAACAGGAGCUUCUUUCAUUCCAUCAUGAGAAAAAAGAUUAUGAAGGAUUGCCAUUUGACUUUUACGGUGGAUAUAUUGGUUAUAUAGGGUAUGUGGUAAAUUUUAUUCAACAAGACAUUCAUCAAUCCUUUUUUUUUUUUUUUUAUCUCUUACAGUUCUUCACUAAACUAAUAUGAUUCAGGGCAUAUUUUUCAUAUUGUUUUAUAUUAUGUGGAGUAAUUAUCCAAUUGUUGAUGAUGUUUAAUUAAAGCACCAUGUUAGAAGUGUUUUCAAGUUUUGUGCGUGUCAUUAAAUUUCUCUUCUUUAAUUUCUUUACAACUGUGUAGCCUGCCUGAUUAGCACCAUAAUCAUUCUCUUCAGAUACGUGAAAUUCUGACUUCAGUGUUCUUAAUCUACCCGGAUGUAAAUAUAAAUACAUUUAUAUUUUCCAUAAGAUUGUAACUUUGAGGUCGUAAACUGUGCUCAUGAAUCUCUUUUCAUUUCUUGAUUUGAAGUGGGGAAACCCAAGUUCAAGAUAUUGGAUAUCAUCAAACAAACAGAUUACCGGAGGCAGUAUUUUUGCUAAAAUUUAAUCUUUAUGUUUUGACGGAUCUUAGUAUCACUUAUCUUACUCCAAAUAAGAGGUUAAACUCCAUAAUGUUCUACUUUCUUUCUGAUAGGAUCUGAUAUUGAUUUUCUUGUAAUGCAGAUAUAACCUUAAAGUUGAAUGUGGUGCGGCAUCUAACCAUCACAAAUCCAGGACUCCUGAUGCUUGCUUCUUCUUUGCCGAUAAUGUUGUAGUUAUAGAUCAUCUUUAUGAUGAUGUUUAUAUAUUGUUGCUAAAUGAAGAAAACACACCAAUGUCCACAUGGUUGGAUGCUACAGAACAGAAGCUUAUUGGCUUAAGAGCUUCUUCAACAAGGCAGUUGGAGGAGCAGAAUUUACAUGCUCCAACAGUUUCUCGAAAUAAAUCAGCCUUUAUUUCUGAGGUAUCAAGAGGGGACUACGUAAACAAUGUUGAGAACUGUCUGAAAUACAUAAAAGAUGGAGAAAGCUAUGAGUUAUGUCUUACAACCCAGCUACGAAAAAGAAUUGGGGAAAUAGAUUCUUUGGGGCUUUACCUUCACCUUAGAGAAAAAAAUCCAGCACCAUAUGCUGCCUGGCUUAGUUUUUCUAAGGAGGAUUUAUGCAUUUGUUGUUCUUCUCCUGAGAGGUUUCUACGAUUGGAUAAGAAUGACUUAUUAGAAGCAAAACCCAUCAAGGGUACCAUAGCUCGUGGAUCCACACCAGAAGAAGAUGAACAGCUCAAAUUGCAACUGCAGUAUAGGUAAUAACAAUUUGCUAUUCGAGCAGUCUCGAAAAAUACCACUGCACUUUGUUCCCUUUGGCUUAUAAUUGCAUUUUCUUGAUUAGCUAGGGUAGUGUCUCAUCGAGUAAAGCAUAUCUCUCCUCUAGGCAUCAAUCCUGCGCAGCUUGCAGAAAAAUUUGGAUUUUUCAUCUCUCAUCUUGAUUCUGUGAACUAACACAUCCUCUUUUUCUCGUCCCUUCUUUCUGUUGACAGUGAAAAGGAUCAGGCUGAAAAUUUGAUGAUAGUGGAUCUUCUAAGGAAUGACCUUGGUCGUGUCUGUGAGCCGGGAUCUGUACAUGUCCCAAAUCUCAUGAAUGUGGAAUCAUAUGCAACAGUUCACACCAUGGUGAGUACAAUCUGUGGGAAAAAGCAUUCAAAUGUUAGUGCAGUUAAUUGUGUCAGAGCAGCAUUCCCAGGUGGUUCAAUGACUGGUGCACCAAAGUUGAGGUCGAUGGAAAUUCUUGAGUCUAUUGAGAGUUGUUCUCGGGGUAUCUACUCUGGCUCAAUUGGGUAUUUCUCAUAUAAUCGAACAUUUGAUCUAAACAUAGUCAUAAGAACAGUUGUCAUACAUGAGGGUGAAGCUUCCAUAGGAGCAGGAGGAGCUAUUGUUGCCUUAUCAAAUCCUGAAGAUGAAUAUGAAGAAAUGAUUUUGAAAUCAAGUGCUCCAGCAAAGGCUGUGAUGUACUUUGAUUAGCGAUUAUUCUGAAUCCAGAGGAUUGUUACUUUCAUCAUUGUUCGUUUGGGGCUGCAGAGAACUCUAGCUGAAAAUAUAGUGUAGCUCAAUUCAUUAUUGGUUUGGUGGUUUGUUUCUCCAAAACAAUAAACAUUGUUUUCCAAGCAAUGCAAAAUGGUUCAAUUCUUUACUUUCAAUGGAAUGGAAAUGCUAUACACAGUUGAUUUCCUUGGGUGACCUCUACCUUGGUAACCUUAGAGCACAUGAUGGUUUUUUCUUCUUUCAUUUCUCUCUUUUAAAAAAAAAAUCCAAAAUACCAUUCUCUUUAUUUUAAACAACAAAUUGCUAUAGAUCUACGGGUAGAGACACCAAUCUAGGAGAGUAAUUUUAAAGGCCAUUUAAUUAUUAAAAAAAAAAUUUCUUUGAUGACCUGAGUGAAGUACAGAAACUCUGUCAGUACGAAGGCCUGUGCGCUGUAUCUGAAGUCAUAAACUAAAACAUGUAGAGUCACCAAUAAUCCCCACAAGAACAAACACCAUCCUUAAAAUGGUGAAACCGAUGCAUGUCCCUUACAACAAUGAGCCGAUUCUCAAUCUUUGAAAUCAACUUAAUUGCAUUAUGACAGUCUCCACAUAUCCUGAGAUUCUUGGUGAUGCGAAUGGUAGUACCUGGAGCAGUUUUGAUGAGACCAAAAGCAAUGGCCAGCCUCUCACUGUGGUAAGAAAGUGCCUCUUCUUUUGCCUCCUCUUCAAUAUCAUGAAGCACAAAAUCUGUCAUAGGAAUAUAACCUAAUUGUUUCAUCGGAGCAGAUAAUUCUUGAAGUGCAGAAUAAAUCUUCUCAGAUUCAGAAUGAGACCUGUCUCCUACCCCAAACUUAUAAACUACAUUGUUAAACUCAAUUAAACUAAAACCCUGCUCUUUAGUAGCUCCUCUUCUACCCAUCAUCAACCUCACCUUUUCUACUUCUUUCCAUCUAGAUUUAGCAGCAUAGAUAUUUGAUAGUAAUACAUGGUAGCCUGAAUUAAAGGGGUCCAGCUGAAAAAUACGAUCAGCAAUUUUCUCUGCUAAAUCUAAAUUACCAUAAAUUCUGCAUGCACCAAGCAAAGAUCCCCAUAGACUUGCAUCAGGUUCCAUUGGCAUAUUCUCUAUAAGUUUCUCUGCUUCAGAAAGUUGUCCAGCGCGGCCAAGAAGAUCUACCAUACAUGAGUAGUUGUUGAGUUUUGGUACAAUUCCAAAACCCUUCAUCGCUUCAAAAUACCUCUUACCCUCUUCCAAUAACCCAGAGUGACUACAGGCUGAUAGAAUACAAGUAAAUGUUAUAUAAUUUGGCCUCACCCCAGCUUUUACCAUGUUAUCGAAGAGAUCAAUUGCCCUCCGUCCUUGUCCAUGAAAUCCACAGCUAGCGAUCAUUGCACUCCAACAAACAACGUCUUUCCCUUCUGUUUGAUCAAAUAAUUUAUGCGCCAAAUCCAAACUACCACACUUGGCAUACAUAUCCAUUACAGCAGUUGCAACCAGAACAUCAGACUCAAAACCAGUGUGAAUCACAUAACUGUGAAACCACUCACCUUUCCUUGAAGCCCCAAGAUUGCCACAUGCCAAAAGUACACUCAAGACGCUGACCCUAUUUGGCUUUACUCCUAAAUCACGCAUCAAAUCAAAAAAACUCAAUGUUUCACUAUUAUAUCCAUUCUGGGCAUACCCAGAAAUCAUCGAAGUCCACGAAACCAAGUCCCUCACAGACAUUUUAUCAAACACAGCACGUGCAUCCUCGACAUUGCCACAUUUUGCAUACAUAUUUACUAAAGCAGCAUUAACAAAAACAUCAGAAUCACAACCACAACACACCAAAUGCUGGUGAACUAACUUGCCUAUCUGCAAGUUAGACAAGCCUGCGCAUGAUUUUAGCGCGAAAGGGAAGGCAAACUUGUCAGGCUUGAAACCAUUUUGCAUCAUUUUGGCAUACAGAGCCAAAGAUUGGCUGAAUUUGCCUUGAGUGGCAUAUUCUCUAAUCAAAAUAUUCCAAAGAUAGCUGCAUGGGUUUGAUAUAUAUUCAAAAACAAGCCUUGCAGUAUCUAACUUAUUGAAUUGAACAUAAAAAAUAGCUAUUUGGUUUAGUAUAUUAUUGUCAUUUUGGAGUCCACAAACAAAAUUUUUUGCAUGGGACUUCUUUACAGUGUUUAAGCUAGAGCAUUUCUGCAAACAAGAGGUAAGGACUAAUUUACUCAUGUGUUUACUUCGAAUGCGAGCCACGGCAGCACAUUGAUGAGCUACAACAAUGGUUAAGAUCCUAACAUGGAUAGGGCUAAUUUGUGAUGCUUCAAAAGACAGUCAAAUGAGCCUGUAACCAUCUCCUACAAAAAUUAAAAAAGAUUGCACAAAGAUUUGAUGGGGGCAUUUCCAGAGAAACACCCCUCCAAAAAUAGGCGUAUGCCGCUUUAAAGCGGCGAGCACACGGUAUUCUUUAGUAAAAGGCGAAAGAAUAGUUCGCUCUGUGCUCACCGCACGGCUCCGUGAAGCCAAAAGUAGGAGGAGCGUCUCAUUUUGUGUGUGGGAGGUGAUUACUACUAGCUUACUCGCUUUCGAUGUGGGAUUCACCAUGCCUUUUUCCGGUCAUUUUCUUUUCAAAAUUUUUGUGCUCUUUCCAACUCUAUACGUCAGACUUAAUUAAUAUCAUUGACACAGGGAGGAUUUAUUUACUUCUUUACUAGUGUAAUUACAAUAACUAGCUACCAAGAACUCCAAGUUCGAUCGAUCAUUCAUUGAAAAUGCAGCAUAUAGCUAAAAAUGGCUUUUAACAGUGUCAAAAUGUUUCUAAAACACAUUGCGAAGGCAUUCAUUAUCAAAGUUUUGGUGACAAAGACAUUAGAUAUUGUUAACUCUGUUUUCCUCUAUUCUACCUAAACAAAUGCAUCUAACUUUUGAAACUGUAGCAUGUACUAAAUAGGUUGUAUCAUAGUGAGAAGAAGCAGGCAAAGAGUACAAACAUGUAAUAUCCCACACCAACUUCGCAGCCACAGCAGAAACCGACAGCAGGUAGAUUUUGGCAAAAACCUUACCUUUGAAGAGAACCAACAAAAAAUUGAGAUCACAAAGUUAAAUUUAAAAUUCGAUAAUGGCAUAAACAAAAUGACUUUACAGUUUGAUAUCAGAAAACAUGCAUUGAGCAAUUCUUUAGUCCAUUAAUUAUUAUACUUAAGGAAAAAAUUUCAUCAAAUUUCUGCCUCAACAGAAAUAAAAUAAACAGUUCGAAUUAUUGGAAAUUCUCAUUCAUAUUCGCGACAUUUGUAAGUUCAGAAUUUGAGAAGAAGAAAACUAAACCCGCCAUUCAGCUCAUCAAUUCAACCCAACGACUCUAGAUUAGUGAUUGAUAUAUAUUUGCUUGAGUUCUUUUGCCAAAGCAAUCAUUGUUUUGGCCUUUCUUCCAUUGUUCCAAAGAUCCAAGAAAAGUUAGCUCCGUAAAAGUCUUGGGAGUCUUAAAAAAUUUUAAAUUUUUCUUUAAACUUACCUUAGGAAACCAUCUCAGCAUCCCAAAUGUUUUCAGUUAGUUUUGAUGGGGGCAAUUCCGAAGAAACACCCCUCCAAAAAUAGGCGUAUGCCGCUUUAAGCGGCGAGCACACGGUAUUCUUUAGUAAAAGGCGAAAGAAUAGUUCGCUCUGUGCUCACCGCACGGCUCCGUGAAUUUAAAGGGCGAAGAAGCAUUUCAUUUUGUAAGGGGGAGCUACUAACCGCAAGCUCUCUCGCUUUCGAUGUGGGAUUUGAUACUCCUCCUUGCCAUCCACUUUCUUUGAAUUUUUGUGAUUUUUCCAGUUUUAUUCAUUAGGUUUAAUACCCUUGACAAUUGACAACAGAAGGAUCUGCACUUCGUACUUCUUUGUUAGAAUAGAAACAAUUAUUAGCAAUACAACUCCAAGUUAGAUAAUUCGUUGACGAACUUAACUGAAUUCACUGCUUUUCUCAAGAGAAAAAUAUUGUCGUCACAUACUGCUUUCCAUUAUCUGAAAUCACUUCAGAGUUUAGACGGUGUCAAAAUACUUGCACAUGUUAUCAUAUUCAUUUUUCGAGUUUUGAUUCCAAGAUAUUCUUUGUUAACGUUCUUUUAACAUAACUUUGCUUCUCCAAAUGCAAGCAUAUUUAGUUGUAUCUUUGUUAGAAUUGCCACAGCAUAGCAGCCACGGAAGAAAAUCUAGAGCAGAAAAAAAUUUCAUAAUCAGAAUCUGCAAAAAGAGAUUGGUAGUCUGUCAGACAACCGUGUGACCACCCCAGCCAGAGGAGCCCAGCUGAGAACGAUCCUCUACAGCCUCAGCAACCCCAAGGGUCAGUGAUAGCCGUUACUCACGCUCUGAUCAUACGGUCAUAGUUCAUCCACCAGACUUGAUAUCCUGUCUCCUUAGAACUCAAGGACACAGACGUACGAGCCUAUAGAACAGAUCCUGUUCAAGUAAGGUCGUGGCUGUUUGACCGUGCAUGCUCAAUAAGUAUUCUUUUUCCAUUGCUGAAUUUUCCAAUGUGGGAUAAAGGAGCAAAAAGAAACAUGCUUUUCUUGCUCAGAAAUGUUGUCGUUUUCCCUUGAAUAAAGGUUUUAAUCCUCAUACAAAACGUUUCUUUAACACUUUACCACUGUUAGUUGUUUAUGCUUCUUGUUUCUGCAGCUAACUGGCUGACUACUCUGCCAUAACCUCACCCAAACAAACAUAUAACUGUCAGAGACUACUUCCAACUCAUUGAGUUCCCCCAUUUUUCCAACUUCUAAGAAGCUUUUAAAAAAUUCCAAUGCAACAAAAUGGCAUUAAACUUUCAAAGUUUUAGGCACCUUAAUCCAGAUAAUGUAAACUUCAUUUUCCGCUCUGAAAGAAAUUAAACACUUUCAACAUAUUAGAUUUCGUAUUUAUUUUUAUGUUAAAAACAUCAUGAACAUUUGAGAAAUAGGCUUCUAGGGAAUCUUCAAAAUUAUUUUUCCCUAAAGAGCAAUUCAACAAAUUCAUUGUAAUUCGAGUUUGACCUACUUAUCCAGCUCAAUUCCUUGAUGAUGAUUCUAUCGGUCCAUCCCAGAUCGUAAUGCUUCAGAUUGGCAUUCUUUUUCAGAUAAGUUCAAAGACGAGAAGUUUGAGCUUUGAAGAAUUAUUUUUGAACUCACCGAAAAACAUAAAUGAAUUUACAAUUUGAUAUCAGAAAACAUGUAAUGAGUAAUAACACUUUGGUUAAUUGUUUCUAAAGGUGAAAUGCAGAAAAAUCCUGCAAGACUUGCUCCACCACAAUACCACAGGCAAAUAUUCCUACAGCGAAAACUACGGGCUUUGCUCUCGAUAACUCAUUUCUAUCAGAAUCUUUGGAUUCUUGAUUGUGCACUGCCCACGCCAUUGCUGGCGGUAGAACUCCAUAUAGCACUGUCAUACAGUAGCCCCCCUGCAUUAAUGUGUCAACAGGGUGAGUUUGAAAUGUUGUUAAGUUUCCAUUGCUUGAUGUAUGCUUAAACUUACAGCAAUAUCUGUAGCAGCGGAGAAUGCAUCGGGUACUGUUGUCGAGAUGAAGAGGGACGGAGCAACAACCAUUGCCAUUGCAGUGAAGCUGAUCUUAUUUCUUCCCCACCAGUUCCUCAGCCCAAAGAACUCUGUUGAUUCCUUUUAUGCAAAGGUAUUAAUGGUUUGGAACAAAAUGUAAGAGGAACUGAAACUUAAUUGGAAAAAAGAGUCAAACCUACCUUAGACGUUUUUGUAGGGGAAGAGUUCCAUGACAAGCUUUUGAGCUGCUCCUUGAAGAAUUCUGAGAAGCCCAAGAGAGUGCCUAUUAGUGAAGUUCCUACCGCCAUAAGCGAAAAUGCCUCCACCAUUACUGAAACACCGCUCCAUCUCACCCUGAACGUAACUUUGAUAUCAAAUUUAGCACAAAAUAUAAACCAGAAAAAGAAUAGGCAAAUGAGUACAAACAAGCAUGAAAUUCAUUCCGACAGCAGUCUUGAGAUCAAAUUAAAAACUAAAUUCAGAACCGGCAAAAAUGAGAUUUCGAAGUCUGUCAGACAACCGUGUGACCACCCCAGCCGGAGUAACCCAGCUGAGAACGAUCCUCUACAGCCUCAACAACCCAAGGGUCAGUGACGACCAUUACUCACGCCUAUUAGUGAAGUUCCUACCGCCAUAAGCGAAAAUGCCUCCACCAUUACUGAAACACCGCUCCAUCUCACCCUGAACGUAACUUUGAUAUCAAAUUUAGCACAAAAUAUAAACCAGAAAAAGAAUAGGCAAAUGAGUACAAACAAGCAUGAAAUUCAUUCCGACAGCAGUCUUGAGAUCAAAUUAAAAACUAAAUUCAGAACCGGCAAAAAUGAGAUUUCGAAGUCUGUCAGACAACCGUGUGACCACCCCAGCCGGAGUAACCCAGCUGAGAACGAUCCUCUACAGCCUCAACAACCCAAGGGUCAGUGACGACCAUUACUCACGCUCUGAUCACACGGUCAUGACUCAUCCACCAGACUUGAUAUCCUGUCUCCUUAGAACUCAAGGACACAGAGGUACGAGCCUAUAGAACAGAUCCUGUUCAAGUAAGGUCGUGCCUUUCUGACAAGACACUACUUAAUAAGAAGGCUUCUUUCAUUGCUUAAUUCUUCCAUGUGGGUUUCGAUAUGAACAUGGUGGUUUUUGCUUAUCUAUUUGCCUGUCUUGUGUUUAACAUUUUCCAUAUAUGAGAAUACAAUAUUUUAUAUUUUACAAAAGAUUGCAGCAUGCAGUAAUGCAGUGGCUGUCCCCAGAAUUGAAGGUCUACUAUAAAAGUGUUCUUAUCCACUGACCAGCUUGGGUUGUUUAUUUUUGUUUUUGCAGCCCAGCUGGCUACUCAUAAAAAACUAAUGCAUU
rnacentral:lncRNA from 1 species